rnacentral:tRNA from 1 species
CAGAAUAUAGCUAAACUUAUAGCACUUCCCUUACACUGAAAAGUUGCGCGCGCAAAUCGAGCUAUUCUGA